GUCAAAAAUAACCAUAAACUGUCCA
rnacentral:siRNA from 1 species